GACGAACGCUGGCGGCGUGCUUAACACAUGCAAGUCGAACGGAAAGGCCCUGCUUUUGUGGGGUUCUCGAGUGGCGAACGCGUGGGUAACACGUGUGUAACCUGCCCUUGACUUUGGGAUAUCUUCAGGUAACUGGGGCUACUACCGGAUAGGAUCUCCUGCUGCAUUGUGGGCGUUGGAAAGUUUCGGCGUUUGGGGAUGGACUCGCGGCUUAUCCGCUUGUUUGUGGGGUAGUGGCUUACCCAGGCUUUGACGGGUAGCCGGCCUGUGAGGUUUACCGGCGACAAGGGGACUGAGAGAGGGCGCAGACUGGAACGGGAGGCAGCAGUGGGGAAUAUUACACAAUGGGAGGAAGCCAGAUGAAGAAACGCCGCGAGCGGGAUGACGGCCUACGGGGUGAAAACAGCUUUCGAAUGAGACGAAGCGGGAGUGACGGUAAUGAGUAAAGAAGCACCGGCUAACUACGUG
rnacentral:rRNA from 1 species